CCAAUUCACUCUGAGCUGCUAGAUUCAUCUCAAUGUCUUCUCAGAGACAAACGUAUAAUUGAUAUUUAGAGAAAGCCUGGAGCUGAAGGAACGCAUCUGUGGUUAUCAGUGGAAUUUCAGGCAUCUGGGAAUCAGUGUGGUGCCUUGUUUUUUUCCCCCAGGAGGGGACACGGGUUCGAGCCCUGAUCCAGGAGGAUCCCACAUGCCGCGGAGCAACUAAGCCCGUGCGCCACAACUACUGAGCCCACGUGCCACAACUACUGAAGCCCGUGCGCCUAGAGCCCGUGCUCCGCAAAAAGAGAAGCCACUGCAAUGAGAAGCCAGCGCACUGCAACAAAGAGUAGCCUCCGCUCACUGCAGCUAGAGAAAGCCCACACACAGCAACAAAGACCUAACGCAGCCACAAAUAAAUAAAUUAAUUUUAAAAAAUUA